GAUGAAGAACGCAGCGAAAUGCGAUAAGUAAUGUGAAUUGCAGAAUUCAGUGAAUCAUCGAAUCUUUUAACGCACAUUGCGCCCGCCAGCAUUCUGGCGGGCAUGCCUGUUCGAGCGUCAUUUCAACCCUCAAGCUCUGCUUGGUGUUGGGGCCCUACGGUUGACGUAGGCCCUUAAAGGUAGUGGCGGACCCUCUCGGAGCCUCCUUUGCGUAGUAACUAACGUCUCGCAUUGGGAUUCGGAGGGACUCUUGCCGUAAAACCCCCAAAUUUUCUAAUGGUUGACCUCGGAUCAGGUAGGAAUACCCGCUGAACUUAAGCAUAUCAAUAAGCGGAGGA
rnacentral:misc_RNA from 1 species